rnacentral:lncRNA from 1 species
CACGGGUUCAAGCGAUUCUCCUGCCUCAGCCUCAUGAGUAGCUGGGAUUACAGUGGCAGGAGCAUCCCUGCGAGAGGCCUGACCCAGGUGUGUAGCCCAAGCAGCCAGCCCGGAAAUCCAAUGGGGUGUUCUUGGGGUGCAGAGGAUUUGUGACAGUCCAUACACAGAAAAAGGAAAAGGUGGCUUUGAAGAGGCAAGUGCAAAGAUACCAGAGAUGGGGUAUUGUCAUUUUAGGCAGUGAAUUGACGGUUUCACUUACCAGGGAGCUCCCAUCGUGAGCUCCCAAAAGGCCUAACAACUGCUAGGCCCACGGGUCAUUAGCUCCACCUUUACGGAGAAGCUGCACUAUGCAUGUCAGAAGCGGGGUAGGCAGGGAUGAGGGAAAGGACGGGAUAAGGAAAGAAAAGAUGUGCGCUGAGCUGAGCUGCGGGAGGGUAAACCUAACUACGUAACAAUGAGCAGGCUGUGAGAGGCUCCUUGCCCCUUGCAGAUUUGUGAAAAAUCAAACUUCCGCCCAAGAAGCCGGCAUUUCAGGUAGGGGCGAUGAUGUCACAAUCACAGGUUGAGAUCUGCUGCCCAGGCCAUGCUUGCUCCCCGCAGGCAGGCGAGAUUUCGGAACAGCCAGGACCUCCUCCGCAUGGGGGAACCGCUCUAGACGCUCAGAGGGGCGGAGUUGAAACGGACCUGACUGGCCAGUGUCUCAAAGACGUGGAUGGUGACCAGCUCUCUCCAGAACAGAUGGCGCUCCAGCUUUGUGGGAGAAACUUUCAAGGUGUGGAUCACUUGGAAGUCAUUUGAAACCUAUGAAGUUUAACAUCUCUGCUUUGGAUGGAAUGCUCAUCACCUACAGCAGUCAGGGAUGUAACUAAACUUGCUGGGACUGAUGUGUUGAAAUUUUUUGUCUAGAUAGUGGAAACAUCCAGGAGCACUUCUGCUUCCAUGUAGCCUCUUAAUAAUUGAUGUCCCUAAAAUCCUAUGUCCUCAGAAACAGAUACUUUCAGCCAGGGCAGUGGCUCAGGCCUGUAAUCCCAGCACUUCGGGAGGCCAAGACAGAGUCUUGCUCGUGUUGCCCAGGCUGGAGUGCAGUGGCACGACUGCAGCUCACUGCGACCACUGCCUCCCAGUAGAGACAGGGUUUCACCAUAUUAUCCAGGCUGGUCUUGAACUCCUGACCUCAGGCGAUCCAUCUUCCUCAGCUCUGAGCUACCACACCCAGCCGAGAUGGAGUCUUGCUCUGUUGCCCAGGCUGGAAUGCAAUGAUGCAAUCUCAGCUCACUGCAACCUCCAUCUCCCAGAUUCAAGUGGUUCUCCUGCCUCAGCCUCCCAAGUAGUUGGGACUACAGGUGCUGCCUUCAGGAGGGAUUAUGACAUAUGCCUGGACCAAACACCUGGAUGACGUGACACUCCUGCAUGAGCCUUGCCCUAAGGGGAUAUUUUUACAUGUUGGUGAACUCAGCAUCUAGGUGAUGUGACUCUACUCUUCUGCCUGGGCCCUGCCCACAGAGGGCAUUGGAACAUUUCACUUGGCUCAGCACCAAGAAGAUGUUACUCUCCUACCUGGACCUCUCCCACAGGGGACACCUAGAUGAUAUGAUUUUUCUUCCUGGUUCCUGCCCAGACUUCAAAUUGUGAUGUAUAUCUGGGCCCAAAACACAGGUAAGGUAAUAACUCUCAUAGCUAGACCAAGACAAUAGAGAGAUUUUGACUUUUGUAGCUAGGCUUAGAACAAUGGGUACAUAUUCCUGGCCCAGCUCCCAGGUGAUAUGACCCUCCUACCUAGUUAGUGCUCACAGGUGUGAUUGUUACCUAUGUUUGGACUCAGUUCAUUGUGAGCAUUGUGAUCACUCAUACCUGGACCUAGCCACAAAAAAAUAUGUUGACUCUUAUACCUCAAAAUAGGAGACUCAACCCACAAGAGGUGUUGACUCUUACACCUUUUGCUGGAAAAUGUCCAGGAUUGUGAAUUUCUGCUAUUGAUUGGGUCCAGGUAUGAGUUUCAUUGCUGUGCCUGAGCUGAGUUCAAAAUAAGUCACUAUCUCACCUGUGGCUGCAUCUACAUAUGACAGUCACAAUUCCAAGUCUGGAUUGCAUUUGUGUAUGAGACUUAGGACCUCACCAGUAAGCACUGUCUAUGUGUGAGGGUGACAAUUCUAUCAGCUGGAAGUGCAUAUGAGAGUCACAAUGUCACCUUUGUUCUUGGUCCUGUUAUGACAUUGUAUCACUUGAAGGCUUUAUCCAGACCCAGGACCUUGCCUGUUGCCCUAAGCCUAGAUAUCAGAGUCAAAAUCUGUUCUCUUAGCUGGAUCCAGGUAUGAGAGUCAACAUCUCACCAGUGAGCUGUGACCAUGUAUAUGUCACAAUUUCACCUGUGGGCAGGAACCAGACAUGAGAGUCAUAUCACUUGGGUGCUGGGUAAGUGAUACAUUACAAUUCUUACUUUGGGCAGGGUCCAGGCAACAGAGGAGAGACACAUCACCUAUAUGAUUGGCCCAGCGAUGGGUGAAAAUCCUCUCUGAGAGCAGGGCCCAUUCAGGAGAGUCAUAUCACCUAGCUGCUUGGCCAAGUGAAAUAUCACAAUGCACCCUUUGCACAGGGCCAAUACAGGACAGUUACAUCACCAGGGAGCUGGGUCCAGCUAUAUGUCACAAUUCCUUUUGUGGAAAGUGUCCAGGCAGAAAAGCAGAGUCACAUCACCUAGCCAGUGGGCCCAGAGAGAUGCCACAAUGCCAUUUGUAGGCUGGGCCCUGGGAGAAGAAUAACAUCACCCAGUUCUGGGCCCAGCAAUAUGUUGUGAUCCCAACUGGAAAAAGUUUCCAGACAAGAGAGGAGAAUCACAUCAUCAUGAUGAUAAGCCAAGAGAUUUCACAAUCCCCCCCUCUGCACAUGUCCCAGGCAGAAGACCUGAAUUACCUUUUUACUUAGGCCAGUAAUGUCACAGUGCUUCCUCAGGGCAGGGCACAAACAAGAUAGGACAGUCACAUCAUUAAGUGCUAGACUUAAUGCUAGAUAUGUCAUAACCUUACUUGUGGGCAGGAUCCAGGAAGGAGAGAUUUAUGUCACCUAGGUGCUCAGUAAAGAGAUAUAUUACAAUUACAAUUCCUUUGAGGGAAGUGGCCAGGCAAAAUAGUCACAUCACCUAGGUGCUUGGCCCAGGUAUAAGUCACAAGAUAUCUGUGUGUUGAGCCCAGAAGGACUAUCAAAUUACGAAGUUUCUACGUAGAAGUGCAUGUCACAGACACCUGCAGGAAGGCCCAGGAAUGAGACUCCCAAUUCCACACAUUUUCCCACUCCAAGUGUAAGAGUCAACAACUCCUGAGACUUAGGCCCAAGUACAUGAGUCACAAUCUCAACAGUGGAUUGCAUCCUGCCAUGAGAGCCCCAAUCCCUUCUCUAAGCUGUGUUCCAGUAGAGGAGUCACAACAUCAAUGGUGUGCUGAAUCCUGGUUGGAGAGUUCCCACUUCACCUGUGGACUGGAUCUGUAUAUGAGAGUCUCAAUUCCAGCUCUCAACUGCCCCUGGGUGUGAGAUUCAGGACCUCAAUUGUGAGCUGUGUACACAUGGACAUGUAACAAUUUCUACUUUUGGCUGUGUGUUCAUACAAGACUCAAUCUCAUCUGUGUUCUCGGCCCUGUUAUGACACUCUUUGUACCACCCAUGGGAUUUAUUCAAUACGCAUGGGUGUCAUAAUCCUCUGUGAUCUUCAUACAAGUAGAAGACCCAGGACCUUACCCAUGGCCCUAGGCCUAUCUAUGAGAAUUGACAUUUUUCCUCACAUUUUUAAUUUUAACAAAUAAGUUAUUCUCCUGUCAGUUCAGAUUCAUCAGGACAUUGAAUCAUAUUCAGAAGAAUUAAAACUGAAAGACUAAUAGGUUUGUUAAAGCAAUGCAGGUUGUCAUACUAAUAAACCCUAAAAUUUCAAAGGCUUAGCAAAAUAAUACAUUUUCUGCUUACAUCACCAUCCCCUUUGGCUUAUUUCUGGUUAAGAGAACUUCUUUGUGAUUAUUCGGAGAUUAGAUUUUUUUAAAAUUUCCUAUCUGCACUCUCUCUUUCUUCAGCCAAUAGAUGAAAAAAGAUGCAAAGAAGACACAUUUGCUUUUUAUGCACACAUCACUUCCAGUCACUAUGUUGAGCAGAGUCAGUGUGAGGACAAUUGAGAAUAGCAGUUUUCUGGCAGGACAGCCACUUCUCAGCAGAAGAUGACACAAUAAAAGUAUAAAUCUUUCAUGGGAGGCUCACAUAUUUUCAGCAAAUUAAGCAUAUGCAUGAAUAAAAUUCUUGUGGUAAAAUAAAGAUGCAUUUUGUUGAUUCCUAUGGAGCUCAGGUAAUAUUGGAU